GCUUACGGCCACACCGGCCUGAGUACGCCUGAUCUCGUCCGAUCUCGGAAGCUAAGCAGGGGCGGGCCUGGUUAGUACUUGGAUGGGAGACCGCCUGGGAAUACCAGGUGCUGUAAGCU
ensembl:rRNA 5S_rRNA 5S ribosomal RNA